rnacentral:lncRNA from 15 species
AUAGAGAAGAAUGUUGUAAGAAGUAUAAAUCUGUCCAGAUGUUUGCUGAUAAAAUAUUCUGUUAAAGGGGUUCAGGGACGAACAAACAGCAUCUGUGCCUUAAAAGGUUCAUCAGUGGAUUUUCCUGACUAUCAAAUCACUAAUGAAACUGUGUUGAUGACUUGUGGCCACUAGAUGUCCCUGUAGAGUCAGAGUCAGUCAGAGCAAUCAUGAUCAUUGUCUUGUGAAAAAAAAAACUGUUCAUGAAAGAAUAAAUUGGACAAAUCUAGUUGAGUGUUGUUGACUUAUCCACCAAAAGACAAAAAUAAAAAGAAAAACACACAAUAAUGUUCUAUUUCUUAUAGUCACAAAUGUCUGGAAAAGAAAAAAAAUCAUUUGUUUUGAUUUUCUUUUAUUGAAUAACACUGAGAGUAUUUCAAUGAGUGAUUAUAUUCAAGCCUCAACAUUUAUUCUAAAAUAACUACUGUUUGUGUUAUCUAUAUUUCAGGUACUGAAGAUAACAACUGCUGGACUGUGAAUUACAUCAGCAGGAGAAUCUGUGCUCUACAAGGCUCUUCAGUGAAAAUUUCAAGUCAUGUGGAGUAUUAUGACAACAUGAAGAACCACCACAUCCUGGGAAUCAAUAACCUGAAGAAGAAUGACUCAGCAGAAUACACAUUCAGACUCCAACAACAAAAAGGAGAAUGGAAACUGAUUCUGAUUCUCCUGGAGUGACUUUGGUACUCACAGGUCUGGAAGUGAAGUUAACUCCUUCUGCAGUGGUGACAGAGGGUCAGAGAGUCACACUGACCUGCAGUACCAGCUGUCCUCUGACUGACAACACAAACUACAUCUGGUACCUGAACAGUCGACCUCUGACCCUGCCAGAGAACCAGAACAAACACCUGGUUCUAGACCCAGUCAGCAGUCAGCAUGCAGGAAGCUACUCCUGUGCUGUCAAAACCCACAACAACAUCAGCUCUCGUGAAAAGACUCUCACUGUCCACAGUAAAACAGGAAAAUGGACACCAGCAGCAGCUGCAGGAGUCGGAGCUGUUCUCCUGGUUAUAAUACCUCUCACUGUCUUCUGCUGGAUUAGGUGA